rnacentral:rRNA from 1 species
ACAUUAAAGCUAGCCUAAUUAAUUAUAUAAACACAACUCCAUUAAUUAUAUUACCCAUUUAUUACUAAUUAAAACAUUUUAUGCUUUUUAGUAUUGGUGACAGAACAAUUAAUCAGCGCAAUAGAUUAUGUACCGCAAGGGAAAGCUGAAAAAGAAAUGAAAUAAAUAAUUAAAGUAAAAAAAAGCAGAGACUUACCCUCGUACCUUUUGCAUCAUGAUUUAGCUAGACUAAAUAGGCAAAGAGAUCUUAAGUCUAUCCUCCCGAAACUAAACGAGCUAUUUCGAAGCAGCAUAUUAGAGCCAACCCGUCUCUGUGGCAAAAGAGUGGGAAGACUUCCAAAUAGCGGUGAUAAGCCUACCGAGUUUAGUGAUAGCUGGUUACCCAAAAAAAGAACUUAAAUUCUGCAUUAAUUUUUUUAAAUCAACUAAGAAUUUCUUCUUAAGAUUAAAAAUAAGAAUUAAUAGUUAUUUAGAAGAGGUACAGCCCUUCUAAACUAAGAUACAACUUUCUAAGUUGGAUAAUGAUCAUACUUAUAAAGGUUUUUUCCCCAGUGGGCCUAAAAGCAGCCACCUGUAAAGAAAGCGUCACAGCUCCAGCUUUCAUAAAGCCUAUAAUUUAGAUAUUACCUCAUAAUCCCCUUAUCUUAUAUUGGGUUAUUUUAUUUAACUAUAAAAGAACUUAUGCUAAAAUGAGUAAUAAGAGGCCCUAAACCUCUCCCAACACAAGUGUAUAUCAGAAAGAAUUAAAUCACUGAUAAUUAAACGAACUCAAACUGAGGGUAUAAUAACAAUUUACUAUUAACUAGAAAAUCCUAUUUAAUAAUUCGUUAACCCAACACAGGAGUGUAUUAAGGAAAGAUUAAAAGAAAAUAAAGGAACUCGGCAAAUAUAAACUCCGCCUGUUUACCAAAAACAUCGCCUCUUGCUUAAUUAUUAUAAGAGGUCCCGCCUGCCCUGUGACAAUGUUUAACGGCCGCGGUAUUUUGACCGUGCGAAGGUAGCGUAAUCAUUUGUCUUUUAAAUGAAGACCCGUAUGAAAGGCAUCACGAGAGUUUAACUGUCUCUAUUUUUUAAUCAAUGAAAUUGAUCUUCUCGUGCAGAAGCGAGAAUACUAACAUAAGACGAGAAGACCCUAUGGAGCUUUAAACACUUAAAUUAAUUAUGUAAAAUUAUAAAUCUACGGAGAUAAGUUAUUUAUAUAAUAUUCCUAAUUUAAAUGUUUUUGGUUGGGGUGACCGAGGGGAAAACAAAAUCCCCCCCAUCGAUUGAGUACUUAGUACUUAAAAAUUAGAACGACAGUUCUUAUUAAUAAAAUAUUUACCGAAAAAUGACCCAGUUUUUCUGAUCAAUGAACCAAGUUACCCUAGGGAUAACAGCGCAAUCCUUUCCAAGAGUCCAUAUCGCCGAAAGGGUUUACGACCUCGAUGUUGGAUCAGGACAUCCUAAUAGUGCAACCGUUAUUAAGGGUUCGUUUGUUCAACGAUUAAUAGUCCUACGUGAUCUGAGUUCAGACCGGAGAAAUCCAGGUCAGUUUCUAUCUAUGAACUUAUUUUUCCUAGUACGAAAGGACCGGAAAAAUGGAGCCAAUACCAGAUGGCACGCUCCUUUUUCACCUACUGAAAUAUACUAAAAUAAGGUAAGAAGAAAUUACCUAUAAACCCGAGAUAAGGGUU